AGAGUUUGAUCCUGGCUCAGAACGUACGCUGGCGGCACGCCUAACACAUGCAAGUCGAACGGAGUAGCAAUACUCAGUGGCAGACGGGUGAGUAACAUGUAGGUAUCUUCCCUUUGGCCUGGAAUAACACGAGGAAACUUGUGCUAAUACUGGAUAAGUCUUUACAGAGAAAGCUUUAUGCACCAUUGGAUGAGCCUGCACUUGAUUAGUUUGUUGGUGGGGUAAAGGCCUACCAAGACUGUGAUCAAUAGCUGAUUUGAGAGGAUGAUCAGCCACAUUGGGACUGAGACACGGCCCAAACUCCUACGGGAGGCAGCAGUGGGGAAUCUUGCACAAUGGAGGAAACUCUGAUGCAGCGAUGCCGCGUGAGUGAAGAAGGCCUUUGGGUUGUAAAGCUCUUUCGUCGGGGAAGAAAAUGACUGUACCCGAAUAAGAAGGUCCGGCUAACUUCGCGCCAGCAGCCGCGGUAAUACGAAGGGACCUAGCAUAGUUCGGAAUUACUGGGCUUAAAGAGCUCGUAGGUGGUUGAAAAAGUUGGUGGUGAAAUCCCAGAGCUUAACUCUGGAACUGCCAUCAAAACUUUUCAGCUAGAGUUUGAUAGAGGAAAGCAGAAUUUCUAGUGUAGAGGUGAAAUUCGUAGAUAUUAGAAAGAAUACCAAUUGCGAAAGCAGCUUUCUGGAUCAUUACUGACACUGAGGAACGAAAGCAUGGGUAGCGAAGAGGAUUAGAUACCCUCGUAGUCCAUGCCGUAAACGAUGUGUGUUAGACGUUGGAAAUUUAUUUUCAGUGUCGCAGCGAAAGCGAUAAACACACCGCCUGGGGAGUACGACGCAAGUUAAACUCAAUGAAUGACGGGACCCGCCACAGUAGUGAGCAUGUGUUAAUUCGAAGAAUACCGCGCAGACUUACCACAACUUGACAUGUUUCGUCCGACUUAAUAGAAUAAAAGAAUUUCGUUCGUCGACGAACAAGACUGCAUGCAUGUCGUUCACUAGGUCUUGAAGUAUGUUAGUUCGCACAGGCGACUACUUAAUGGACAAGCUCAUUGACCUCUGCCACGAAUGACAGUAACUGAACGUGGGAGUAUCAACC
rnacentral:rRNA from 1 species